CCCUUAGAUGUUCUGGGCCGCACGCGCGCUACACUGUCGGAUGCAGCGAGUCUUAACCUUAACCGAAAGGUUUGGGUAAUCUUAUGAAAGUCCGACGUGAUGGGGAUUGAUCAUUGCAAUUAUUGAUCAUGAACGAGGAAUUCCUAGUAAGCGCGAGUCAUCAGCUCGCGUUGAUUACGUCCCUGCCCUUUGUACACACCGCCCGUCGCUACUACCGAUUGAAGAGUUAGGUGAAUUGUUUUGAUCGAUAAGAUUUGACUAUGGUCAACUCUCGUUGUGAAAUUCUGUGAAUCUGACUGUUUAGAGGAAGGAAAAGUCGUAACA
rnacentral:rRNA from 1 species